rnacentral:lncRNA from 1 species
GAGGUACAUUUAUGUUCAUAUAUAUAUUAUCUGCAUAGAAGAGUGAUGUGCAGUAUUACUGUUAUCAGAGCCGGUCCUGAGGCCAAGCUACUUAUGCUAAUGAAUGGGGGCACACAAAAAAGAGGGGCACAUUUUAUAUUAAGGAGCAAACAAAUUUUUAAAAAAUAUAUAUAUGCACAAAAAAUUUCCUUAAGGGCACACAUUUUUUUUUUUUUUUUUAAAAGAUCACCAAACCUGCUCUGAAAUACUUUAAUAGAAUACUUAUAUGAUCGGUCUGAUAAAAAGAUUAUCGAUAUCAUUUCUUAUCUUUUUCCAGAUAUUAUUGUGGGGCACAAUUUUUUUUUCUUGCUUGGGCUUUAGAUAUCUCAGGGCCAGCCCUUACUGUUAUUGUAUGUGUGUCAUACUCAUAUCCAAUUAUAAACCUGCCUUUCUUUUCAUCAAUGGAGACUACCCAUCCCUCCUCCCAAUAUACCACAAUACCUUAUUCGAAGUCCUCCUCUUCCCUCUAAGUAAUUUGAAUGCCUCUUAACAUCUCCUACCAAACCUACCUUAUAUUAAAUAUAUUCUAGCUCAAUUAGUAUUUAUGUUGGUUAACUGAAACCAGAGCUUCUACUGAUCAAAAGUCAAAUUGAGCUUUAAGAUCCUCAGGAGCCUGCUCACCAAUACUGUGCUGUUUAAAUAAUUAAUAACUUUUUCUCCUUUGGGACUUAUUUGGGUAAUUCGGUUGCCCUAUGAUUACCUAUCCUAUUUCUAAUUCUGCAGAAGACCAGAAGAUGGAGAUCAUUGGUAAUACUGGUGAAGCUGAAGACUCAAAGGUAUGCUAUUUACAAUUUCUUAGCAUGUAUUCCUGAUGAGAUCACGUCAGACUUACAGAACAACACUUUGAAUCAUUAAGGAAUUGGUUUGUUAAUAUGCAUUUAAUUUUGUCUGACAAUCUGGCAACUCAAACUCCGCUUUCAUUUUUCGUGUGCAGUAACUGGACAUUGAAGCUUGCAUUCUUAAAUAAAUAGCGACUGAGAUCCUCUCCAAAAUUGUUGUUGUUUAACUGUAUUAUUGUUCUUACCCUGUAAUGUAAUUCUGUGGAGAAAUCGGCAGAUUUCUGAAAUCUUCCAAGCUUCACUUCCAUGCUCUGUAAAACUUGAGAUUUGUAGUUUGUAGAAAUUUGUGUUCUUUCUGUUCUUAUCUCCUUGUUCAGUUCUAGCAACAAAACUAAUUUUAAACUUGGUCAAGUUGUUUCUUGAAAAUAUAUAAAUCCCCACAAAAAAAAAANGAUAUUAUUGUGGGGCACAAUUUUUUUUUCUUGCUUGGGCUUUAGAUAUCUCAGGGCCAGCCCUUACUGUUAUUGUAUGUGUGUCAUACUCAUAUCCAAUUAUAAACCUGCCUUUCUUUUCAUCAAUGGAGACUACCCAUCCCUCCUCCCAAUAUACCACAAUACCUUAUUCGAAGUCCUCCUCUUCCCUCUAAGUAAUUUGAAUGCCUCUUAACAUCUCCUACCAAACCUACCUUAUAUUAAAUAUAUUCUAGCUCAAUUAGUAUUUAUGUUGGUUAACUGAAACCAGAGCUUCUACUGAUCAAAAGUCAAAUUGAGCUUUAAGAUCCUCAGGAGCCUGCUCACCAAUACUGUGC